AGGGGCUGCUCCUCGCGCCCCCCAAGCAGCCUCCCCCACCGCAGCAGCAGCAGCAGCCGCCGCCCGCAGCGCCGAGCACCGAGCCCGCGGCCAAGAUUAAGGAGCUACACUUCUCCAACAUGAAGACGGUGGACUGCGUGGAGCGGAAGGGCAAGUACGUGUACUUCACGGUGGUGAUGGCCGAGGGCAAGGAGAUCGACUUCGGUGCGCGCAGGAGCAGGGCUGGAACGCGGCGAUCACGCUGCAGAUGGUGCAGUACAAGAACCGCCAGGCCAUCCUGGCCGUGCGCUCCACCCGCCAGAAGCAGCAGCACCUGGCGCAGCAGCCCCACGGCCCGCGUCUCCGCAGCGCCUCCAACUCCGCCUAGCGCCGGCGGCACGGCGCCCCGAUCCGCUCCGCGCUGCUGCGCCGCACUGCGCGGGGCAGCGACCGCAGCGGUACCGAGCGCGGCGCCUGGAGAUGGAGCCGGGCGCGGCCCCGAAGCGUUUCAGCCCUUUUAUUUAUGGACCUCGGGACGGAGCCUCGGGUGUGCGGGUUGCAUCCCCAGACACAGACCUGGUGCUGAGUCCUGCCCACUCCUCUGCGGCCGCUCCUCUGUGCUUGGCCCUGCGCUGGCCUUGAAAACACUAUGGCCAAGCUGAGGGGGCAGGUUACAGCUAUCCUAACAGAGCUGUCACUUGGGGACUAAUUGAAGUCGAAGGUGCCCUGCUUCUUCUAGGAUUAGAAUCGCUGUCUUGGCAAUCACAAUAGCCAAUUACCACAUCUCUGUACAUCUGCCAUUAUCGUUCUGCUAAUGCUUGGAUGUUAGAGCUGCGAGGGGAUUCUCUAACGAGCUGGUUGGAGACUUAAAAAUAGGCUGUAAUUUGUAAUUUGGCUCCUCUCUUCAGUCAUUAAUUACGGUGUACUGAGCAACUAAUCCACCUUUCCAGAUAGACAUAUCGCCGGUAGCUCACCUACUAAAAUGUGUUAGUCUCCUGAAGAAUAAAUGUACAUGAUGAAAAACGUUCCUACGUGAUCAGAGACAUGCGCAUUUCUCUGGCGGAGGCAGGUAGCCAUAUUCUACGUGAACAUAGAACAUCAGAGUUCUACCAAAGUCCAUAGAUCUGCUGUGAAGCUGAAAUUUCACUGCUCUUCUGGAGAUGUCUGUAGCUUGAAAACGAAAGAUGACAAUUUCAGUGAUGUAAUCGAGACUGAAGGUUGAAAAAGCAAAGGAAAUUGAAAAUGUCGAGGUUGAUGGUUCAAGGUCAAUGUUGUA
rnacentral:lncRNA from 1 species